CUGGGUCACAUGGAGUAGCAGACUGGAUUCCUUCUGGUCAGGUGAAAGACGACCUUAGCAAAAGGAGAGAUACUUCCCUGGGUACCCAAUCCCUAAAACUGCCCUUUGAUGCCCCCGCACGGACGCUUCUUGCAUGGCGGGAGAUUGUGCCAGCUCCCGUUUCAUGUGCGUUGGGGCAACGCAGAUUUAGACGGCACCCUACAAGACAACUGUACGGAGGGCGAAUACUUUUUUAUGACCAG
rnacentral:sRNA from 12 species